rnacentral:lncRNA from 1 species
UAUGGAUAAAAACAGCGGCAGGAAAGAUCAUCUUCGACUCCAAUGGAUAAUUAGGUUCUAUGAUCCCAUCUUUUAAGUUAAAAACUACCAUGUCAUGAGGUCCAACUCCCAAUUGAGUUGCUAGAUAUCGAUAAAUACAAUCGUCUGUUAAGUAGAUACAAUUUGGCUUGCACCCUGGCAAAUCUGAAACUUAGGGAGACAAGGAACAAUUAUCAUGGUUAUGUUCUUCACCUCAUCCCAUCUCCAGCAACCUCAAUUUAGCUUCAGAAUAGUAAAUCCAAGAGUGUAGUAAUUGUACCGAGAGCUACAUAUGUUCCUUACAAUUUGGAUCAAGUCCGCACUUGAUUCCACAAAUACAUCUACACAGUUGAAAAACCUGAAAAAAUACAGAAAUACAGAAUGUAAUGAUAUUGGAGUAUGAGGCAAAUUUGCAGUUAGGAAAAACCUGAAAAAAUAGCGUAUACAAAUAGAGCACCUCAGAGCAUAUUAUCAAUAAUCCAGUUAAAAAGAAAUAUAUAAGUAUUCAAAAACAAAAAUAAAUAAUUCAUCCAUAAAAAAGUACAAGUAUACAAGAAUAAAAAACAAAGAGCAAUAUCCAGAAGAAAGUUGUUGGUUUCAGGGUUGUUACCUGUUUGGUGUUUGGCUUUUUAAUGUUUUCGAAUCAAUUUUUGGAACAUGAGAUAGGAUGUUCAUCCAGUCCUCUCCUUCUCUGAAACGUUUUGCUAGAACAGCACAGUCAGUGAUCUAAAGUCUUGAAGCAACACUAGUACCUUUGAACAAUGAAAAAGGUUCUCGCGCUCUUACCUCUAUGUGGAAAGGAUCUCCAUGGCCCUAUUUGAUUGCUCACAUGUAAACUUAUGUGCUUCUUGUUAUAUUAUCUACAUACCAAACACGCACCCCACCUUAAAAUCAGCAAAUAUAAAUCUACAACCCUAACUUGCAGCAAAUAAUCCUAUUGCUACAUCUAGUGAUAAGAUUUCA